AGUUAUUGAUGUCCUGACGCAUACUCCUUCAUUAAACCUAUUUUACACCACUAACAUGGAUACAAUCAGCUUGGACUGGAAACAGAUUAAUUUAGUAAGAAUAAAUGAAUAUAGUUUGAAUACAUCUGGUAAGAAAACAGGAAUUCAGGAAACGGUACCUUAUCUUUUCCGUGACGAAAAGUGUGCUGCCCGUGUUGAAUGGAAAUAUAGAAGCACAAAUGCAAGGAAAGGAGAGAAUAAAGAGAUUUAGGUGUUCACCAAAUAACAGAGAAGUGUUUAGAAGCGAGACAGAACAUUAACAAAGGUUCUGAAAGUAAAGAUUGAGCUGCUUGGGUCCUUAUGGCAGACAGAUCAGAAAGAGGAAGAGCUUUGAAUCACAGCUAACUGCGUCACAUCGUUCAUGUGAAAUUCUAGUGAAACCAGAGAAUGUCUAAUAUGAGACGGGCUCUGGUGAAACUAAAGUAAUGGCGCGUUCACACCAAAAGCGAAGGGGCGGCGCAACUUCCAUACAAAGUCAACGUAUAGACGCGUUCCAGGCAACGGGCGCGUUCGACUCCAUACAAAGUCAACGUAUAGACGCGUUCCAGGCAACGGGCGCGUUCGACUCCAUACAAAGUCAACGUAUCGUAUAGUAAUGCUGUAGCCUACUUUAUAUCGUCUGUGGGGAAAUCCUGGGACUCUCAGAGUAUCAAACUACAACUGGAAAAAAAUAAAAGCUUAGGAAACACUUUUAUUUUGAAAACUUGAGUUAAGGGACAUAAAAGACAACAACCCCAAAAACACGCUGUCGGAAACACCUCGGAUGAAACCAGGGACAGGACAGACCCGGAAUCCAACAACAGGUACAGCUGAGAGAGGACGACACAGACAAUGACAGCGCUGGGCAGUGUUGUGGUUCAGACGGUCUUGUUACUGACGGGGCUGGUCGUCGUUCAGGGAGAAACCAAAGCUGUCUCUAAAGACGAACCCAGGUUCUCAGAAUGGUCAGGUGAUGUGAGAGAAGACACCCAGGUGGGCUGUGUGUUUGGGGGGAGCUGUGUGCUGCCUUGCCGCUUCCAUCCAAACAGUGAUACCAUCCUCCACUGGAACAAGAUAAGUGGGAAGGAUGUUCAGGUCCACUCCUACUACGAUGAACUGGACCAACUGGGACACCAGGACCCUCUCUACGAGGGAAGGACCUCCCUGUUCCAGGAUCAGAUCUCAGGGGGCAACGCAUCCCUUGGUCUGGCCAGGGUGAACCUCCAGGACCAGGGCAGGUACCUGUGUUACGGCAGCACUUCACAGAACAACCAGGAGACCUUCGUCAGCCUGACAGUGAGAGGUGAGCUCAAGUCCUGGGUUAACCUUAACCCUAACCCUAACCCCAACUCUGAGUUUCUUGUUUUAAUACGGUACAAUAUUAUCUAGGUCAUCGUUAAUGUGAAGUUAUUUGGUUCUGUCUUGCUGUCAUUGUUAUUAUCCUCAUUCUUAUUAAAGAAAGAAUAAUCCACAUUUUCUUUUUCUGUUUCAGCGGGAUCAUUUAGCACACCUUGGUUACAAAUAGGAUUCUAUUUUUAUGGUAUACUUUUAAUCAUCAUCAGCAUCAUCCUCAUCUGUUUACGUAUAAAGAGAAGGGUUUCUUUUGAAUUUUUUGUAUCAUUUUCUUUAAUAUUUGUUCUUGUAAAUUACUUCACAUUAUAUUUUAUUUCGUUCUUUGUGUCAUUUUCUCUUUUAUUUUUAAUUAAUUAAUUGAAAACGUUUGUGUGGUUAUUUCUGGGUCAUUCAUUAGUGAUGUGAUGGGUCGUUUUAUCUGUAUUAUAAUGUAAUAAUCAACCACUUUUAUAUAUUUUAGUUUACUAUAUAUUCAUGUUAAUGAUGUAUUUUGGUUUGUCUUUGUCUUCACUGCCUCACUGUGGGAGGUCUAAAAUGAGCGUGCUUCACCUCAAACACACGAUGCCUCUGGUGCUGCACAGAUGUGUUAUGUUGUACCCAUUAAGUUAAAGGUGACCAUGUCAAAUUAAAUAAAUGAAUAUAUUUUAAUCA